UAAUAAGUGUUUUAUGGCACUUUUUUAAAUCCAUAUCCACCUUGUGUGCAAUGUCAGGGUUGAUUUCUUUCGAGAGAUCAACCCCAAACAUCAACUAUUAUCUCAACUCUUUGUCUGAAAAAUAUUAUGAAUAAAACAAUUCAAAAUA
rnacentral:misc_RNA from 1 species